ACGCUGGCGGCGUGCCUAAUACAUGCAAGUAGAACGCUGAAGCUUGGUGCUUGCACCGAGCGGAUGAGUUGCGAACGGGUGAGUAACGCGUAGGUAACCUGCCUGGUAGCGGGGGAUAACUAUUGGAAACGAUAGCUAAUACCGCAUAACAGUCGACAUUGCAUGAUGUUGAUUUGAAAGGGGCAAUUGCUCCACUACCAGAUGGACCUGCGUUGUAUUAGCUAGUUGGUGAGGUAACGGCUCACCAAGGCGACGAUACAUAGCCGACCUGAGAGGGUGAUCGGCCACACUGGGACUGAGACACGGCCCAGACUCCUACGGGAGGCAGCAGUAGGGAAUCUUCGGCAAUGGACGGAAGUCUGACCGAGCAACGCCGCGUGAGUGAAGAAGGUUUUCGGAUCGUAAAGCUCUGUUGUAAGAGAAGAACGAGUGUGAGAGUGGAAAGUUCACACUGUGACGGUAACUUACCAGAAAGGGACGGCUAACUACGUGCCAGCAGCCGCGGUAAUACGUAGGUCCCGAGCGUUAUCCGGAUUUAUUGGGCGUAAAGCGAGCGCAGGUGGUUAGAUAAGUCUGAAGUUAAAGGCUGUGGCUUAACCAUAGUACGCUUUGGAAACUGUUUAACUUGAGUGCAGAAGGGGAGAGUGGAAUUCCAUGUGUAGCGGUGAAAUGCGUAGAUAUAUGGAGGAACACCGGUGGCGAAAGCGGCUCUCUGGUCUGUAACUGACGCUGAGGCUCGAAAGCGUGGGGAGCAAACAGGAUUAGAUACCUUGGUAGUCCACGCCGUAAACGAUGAGUGCUAGGUGUUGGGUCCUUUCCGGGACUCAGUGCCGCAGCUAACGCAUUAAGCACUCCGCCUGGGGAGUACGACCGCAAGGUUGAAACUCAAAGGAAUUGACGGGGGCCCGCACAAGCGGUGG
rnacentral:rRNA from 1 species